rnacentral:lncRNA from 1 species
GAGAAGGCUCAGUGGUUAGGAGCACUGACUGCUCUUCCAGAGGUCCUGACUUCAAUUCCCAGCAAACACAUGGCAUCUCACAACAAUAUAUACUGGAAUCUGAUGGCCUCUUCUGGCAUGCGGGCAUACAUGCCGAUAGAGCACUCAUAUACAUAAAACAGUGAAUCUUAAAAAAAAAAAAAAAAAAAAAAAAAAAAAAAAAAAACAUGUUUUGUUGAACACCAUAAAACUUGGCUAGUAUUUUGUCUCUUAGACCUUUGUCCACCUGAUUUUCUCUUCUAAGCACGUCUUGCACCUUUCUGUGACAGGCUCCUGAGUACGUGCCGCUUGAACAGCCCCAGUUUCCAUCGACAGUUCCGAUUGGCUGCUCCACUGACACAUCAAACUCAAGUCCACCUGCAAUAACCACUUACUCAGCGCCUUUCUCGUUCCUUUUUUUUUGUUCGCCACAGUUAUGCUCCAAGCCUUGACUCUCCGCUUCUCUUGACAAGCCCACCUCUGUUUCCUAGCCAUGCCCUCUCGCAUUCAGCUCUCUAGCUGGCUCGGCAGUGUCUGCAAGCAGACACUAGGAAACGGCCCCUUCCUUCUCCUGAUGCUUCUCGUUCCAUUGGUCCAUCUUUCCUCCAUUAAUUUAAAGCCUACCAAGUACUUCCUUUGAACGCCUUACUCUAGCUUAGAGGCUAUAGGAGAGCAGGACUCGUGUGGUUAGUCAUUUCUGGAUUCCCAAAGGUGUCCACAUAAAAGAACCAUUCACAUAUGCCCAGGGGUUGAAUUAAACGAUGGAGUGAGGUGAAGGUAAUAAAUAGGCGAUGCCGUUGCUAGGAGCUGCUUCACAUGGGAUAGUCCAGAGGAAGCUUUUGGGAAGACUUGCCCUGAAGUCUGAAUGACAAGGAAAAAAACCACCAUAAAUAUAUGCAGAAAAGCAUCUCAGAAGAGGGAAAGCAGUCACAGCCCAUGGAGAGAGAGCAAGGUUGCCGUAUGAUAGGACCAGAGAGAUGAUGUGUGUGGUUGAAACUGCAAAGGUUCCUUCUAGGCAAGCCUGUAGUGUAAAGUAGGACCUGGUCGUGGUUCCAUGUUCCUCUUAGCAGGGUCUAGACCAAGCACCCUAUUAUGUGCUGACUAGCUCUUCGUGUGACAUCAGUGGACGAGUGUCUGUUAAACAGAUAACACAAGUACCAUCCACUCCUAGGAGGUUUGUAUUCUUCAUGGAAGUGCCUGAUCAGACGGAAGAUUUGAGCGUGUUUUCUCUCAUCUGUGAGCUGUCUUUUUCCACCUUUGAGGAUAUCCUUUGGGGGCACAGAAGUUUGGUCAAGUCCAGUUUGUUAUUUGUUUUUCUAUUGAUGCGUAUGCUUUUCAUUUUAUGUCACAUGAACCAUUUACUAGAGGUCGUGAGAUUUGUUUUUGAUGUUUUGUGUUUUCAUGGUUUGCACUUAAAUGUAUAAUUCAACUGUGUUCCUUUUCUUGAAUGUAAUUUGUAAUAAAUGUCUGUGAUGGUUUAUCUAUGCUUGGCCCAGGGAGUGGCACUAUUUGGAGGUGUGGCCUUGUUGGAGUAGAUGUGUCACUGUGGGCAUGAGCUUUAAGAGCUUCAUCUGGAAGCCAAUAUUCUGGCAGUCUUCAGAUGAAGAUGUAGAAUUCUUCGGUCCUCCUGCACCAUGCCUGCCUGGAUGCAGCCAUGUUCCCACCUUGAUGAUAAUGGACUGGAACUCGGAACCUGUAAGCAAGCCAUAAUUAAAUGUUGUCCUUGUAAGAGUUGCCUUGGUCAUGGUAUCUGUUCACAAAAGUAAAACCCUAACUGAGACAAUGUCUAACCCAUCCUUUUGCAUGUGGAUAUCUUACAUUGUUCUUGAACAUAUUUAUUUAUUUAUUUAUUUAUUUAUCAUUUUCUUACUGUUCAUCUCUAUGUAUGUGUGUGCAAUGCAUCUACCUAUGUAUGCUCAUGUGGAGUACAGAGAUCACUGUCAGAUGCCCUCCUCUCUGCUUUCACACACACACACACACACACACACACACACACAGAAUUUCUCACUGCAGCUGGAACUUGCUGUUUUGGGUAGCCUGGCUGGCCUAGCCUAGAGAUCUGCCUGAUUCUGCCAAUCCUCCACCCGCAUCACUGGGAUUACAGACUUCACUGCCAUGCCUGAAUUUUAUUGGCGAGUACAGAUCUAAGCUCAGGUCCUCAUGCUUGAACAAUAUGUUAUAUGCAUAUAAUAAAGUCAUAUAUGUAUGAUGACUGUC